rnacentral:miRNA from 1 species
UGAGUUUGUAUGUAUGUCUGCAUGAACAUAUGUAUAAAUCAUACACAUGCACACAUAUAUGCCCAU